GAAAGGCGAGAUCUCUGUUUAAUUUCUUGGUUGGUGUCCUGCAUUGGGUAGCUGUGUAAAUUCCGUGUCUUUACUCACGUUAGUUAUGAUCUCUCGGUUAACUCGCGUGUAAAAUCACAUGAUACGCACCCCUGGGUAGGCUUUUUUUAGAUGAAGUGAUCUGCUAGGUAAAUGCAAUUUUUCACCAGAUGACUGAUUGAUAUAUCUAGUUGGCACUGUAUAGCAUUAUAGUCGCAUCUAAUAAUGUUAGUUCAGUGUUGGGUUAAUAUGCUUAAGUGACACUUUCUCCUGCUAAUAAUUACUCCCUGCAUUUUAUAAUGUAAUGCGCCCGUGCUUUUCGAGAUUUAAGUUUGAUCGUAAAUUUAACCAACGUGGGCAACUGCGGUGGAAGCAAAAAUUAUAUCAUUGAAUUCGUAUUUUAAAAAGUUUUUCAUCCAUGUUGUUUAGAGUUAUGAUAAAAGUUAAAUCUCGUGAAGUGCGGGCGCUAUUGCAGUUGGAUGGGUAAGAGAUGGAGUUAUAAGCUAUAGAUAUGUGGUGUUGGUUGAUUGUUACCCCACAAUUGUUUUAGGAUUAAUAAUUUCUGAUAUAACAAUGCGACAGUACAAAUUGUAAGCAUCGCCUGCCGCCUCACUUUGUCAGUUAUGCCGAUGCAUCUUUUGUUUUUGUUUGAGGGUCCUGAUCAGUACUCUUAACUAUGGAACAAAUGAUUGCAUCUUGCAUGCAUGGAGCGAUCUGUAGCCUAAAGUGAUACAAUAGCAUAUUUGGACUGAGCGAUAGAUGUGACCAUCCUAUUUCUUUAGUGGAGACACAUACCUUCUUCUGGUUGGAUUUGUUUUAAUUAUAGAACAUACCAGUUUUUUUUAAAUACUCACUCCGUUCCAAAAUAAGUGUCUUAAGCUUACUAUAAUUUUGUGCUAGAGCUAGUAUAAAGUUAAGACAAUUAUUUUGGGACAGAGGGAGUAGAACAUACCUUGGGGCAAUGUAUAUUUAUUUUGACAGCUACCAUCGCACAACGUAUGUAAAAUAACAAAUGUAUAUUCAUGUGAGGGUUCCCACCUACUCCCUUCGUCCGGAAUUACUUGUCGCACAAAUGUAUAAAAAUGGAUGUAUCUAGAACUAAAAUACAUCUAGAUACAUUCAUUCCUGAAUACAUGCUAAAUAAUUUGGAUUUUGUUGGAUCUCUGGGAUGGCCUAUGAUGCAUAUCUAGUACAGAAGCAAGCUUCUAACUGUAAGAAUUGGUCUCUCGUCUGUAAUUGUCAAUUGAUAUUUGGUCAAAGAUGCAAGUGGCUGAAGGUUGGCAGAAACUUUACUUAAGGUAAUGCUUUCUAAGAUUUAUUUACCUAUUUGAAUGGAGAUUAUUGGGAACUGGGAGAACUUCAACCACAAGUUUUUCCGAUAAAAUGAUCAAAUUAGCUUAGUUGUUGAAGACCUGACCUCACAGAAGUAGUUGCCUGCUGGUCAUAAACUAUAUGCAAUAUGAAGCAUUCUAAUUAUUCUUCUGCAUUGUUCUCUAUCUUGACAACUACGGUAGUGCAGGCUGAAGCGAUGGCAUGAAUGAUUGAUGUAAUUGCAUCUCAAUAAGAACUAUUUGGUGCAUAGUAUUCAGAGUGAUGGAAGCAAAGAAAAGGACAACACUCAAACAAAAGGACAACACUCACAAGGAACCAUGAAGCCAGCGAUCCGUGUCACCUGGAUAUUUAGCCUUUAUUUUGUACAACUCAUGUCUCAUACUAGCAUCUUUUAGCUGUCCUUUUUGUGAACCUGAUGUAUGGUGUCCUGGUAGUUAUGCUUGGAACAGACUGAAGCGUGUGUAUGUGACAAUUAAUUAAUGGAACAGAAAAUGUUUGGUGCA